rnacentral:rRNA from 1 species
AGGGCACCACCAGGAGUGGAGCCUGCGGCUUAAUUUGACUCAACACGGGAAACCUCACCCGGCCAGUACAUUAUAAGGAUUGACAGAUUGAAAGCUCUUUCAUGAUUUGAUGAAUGGUGGUGCAUGGCCGUUCUUAGUUCGUGGCGUGAGUCGUCUGCUUAAUUGCGAUAACGAGCGAGACUCCGACUGUUAAAUAGGGUGGGUUCACUUCGACCCUUACGCUUCUUAACGGGAUUCGUUACUCCAAGUAUCAAGAAAUGGAGCAAUAACAGGUCUGUGAUGCCCUUAGAUGUUCGGGGCAGCACGCGUGCUACAAUGGUGGUAACAGCGUGAUUGUCCCCGUCCGACAGGGCUUGGCAAACAGUUGAGAUAUUAUUAUGGCUGGAAUUGAGUGUUGAAAUUUUCUCUCAUGAACGAGGAAUUCCAAGUAAAUGCGAGUCAUCAACUUGCAUUGAUUACGUCCCUGCCCUUUGUACACACCGCCCGUCGCUACCCGGGACUGAGUUAUUUCGAGAAAUC